rnacentral:rRNA from 1 species
GGUUUGAUCCUGGGCUCAGAUUGAACGCUGGCGGAUGCUUUACACAUGCAAGUCGAACGGCAGCACGGACUUCGGUCUGGUGGCGAGUGGCGAACGGGUGAGUAAUGUAUCGGAACGUGCCUAGUAGCGGGGGAUAACUACGCGAAAGCGUAGCUAAUACCGCAUACGCCCUUCGGGGGAAAGCGGGGGACCUUCGGGCUCGCACUAUUAGAGCGGCCGAUAUCGGAUUAGCUAGUUGGUGGGGUAACGCUCACCAAGGCGAUGAUCCGUAGCUGGUUUGAGAGGACGACCAGCCACACUGGGACUGAGACACGGCCCAGACUCCUACGGAGGCAGCAGUGGGGAAUUUGACAAUGGGGGAAACCCCGAUCCAGCCAUCCCGCGUGUGCGAUGAAGGCCUUCGGGUUGUAAAGCACUUUUGGCAGAAAGAAACGGCACGGGAUAAUACCCCGUGCAACUGACGGUACCUGCAGAAUAAGCACUGGCUAACUACGUGCCAGCAGGCGGUAAUGUGUAGGGUGCAAGCGUUAAUCGGAAUUACUGGGCGUAAAGCGUGCGCAGGCGGUUCGGAAAGAAAGAUGAAAUCCCAGAGCUUAACUUUGGAACUGCAUUUUUAACUACUGAGCUAGAGUGUGUCAGGAGGGAGGUGGAAUCUCCGCGUGUGGCAGUGGGAAUGCGUAGAUAUGUGAGGAACACCGAUGGCGAAGGCAGCCUCCUGGGAUAACACUGGACGCUCGCGCAUCGAGCGUAAGAGCAAACAGGAUUAGAUACUCUGGUAGUCCACGCCCUAAACGAUGUCAACUAGCUGUUGGGGCCUUUCGCCUUGGUAGCAAAUUAACGCGUGAAGUUGACCGCCUGGGGAGUACGGUCGCAAGAUUAAAACUCAGCGAAUUGACGGGGACCCGCACAAGCGGUGGAUGAUGAUUGUUCGAUGCAACGCGAAAACCUUACUCACCCUUGACAUGUCUGGAAUCCCGAAGAGAUUUGGGAGUGCUCGCAAGAGAACCGGAACACAGGUGCUGCAUGGCUGUCGUCAGCUCGUGUCGUGAGAUGUUGGGUUAAGUCCCGCAACGAGCGCAACCCUUUGGUUUAUUAGUUGCUGCUACGAAAGGGCACUCUAAUGAGACUGCCGGUGACAAACCGGGAGGAAGGUGGGGAUGACGUCAAGUCCUCAUGGCCCUUGCGGGUAGGGCUUCACGUCAUACAAUGGUCGGGACAGAGGGUCGCCAACCCGCGAGGUGGUUUUUCAAUCCCAGAAACCCGAUCGUAGUCCGGAUCGCAGUCUGCAACUCGACCGCGGUGAAGUCGGAAUCGCUAGUAAUCGCGGAUCAGCAUGUCGCGGUGAACAUGCCCCGGGUCUUGUACACCGCCCGUCACACCAUGGGAGUGGGUUUACCAGAAGUAGUUAGCCUAACCGUAAGGAGUGGCGAUUACCACGGUAGGAUUCAGACUGGGGUGAAGUCAAAAUAAGGUAG